rnacentral:rRNA from 1 species
AGCGAACGCUGGCGGCAGGCUUAACACAUGCAAGUCGAGCGCCCCGCAAGGGGAGCGGCAGACGGGUGAGUAACACGUGGGAACGUACCUUUUGGUUCGGAACAACCCAGGGAAACUUGGGCUAAUACCGGAUACGCCCUUACGGGGAAAGAUUUAUCGCCAAAAGAUCGGCCCGCGUCUGAUUAGCUAGUUGGUGGGGUAAUGGCCCACCAAGGCUACGAUCAGUAGCUGGUCUGAGAGGAUUAUCACCCACAUUGGGACUGAGACACGGCCCAAACUCCUACGGGAGGCAGCAGUGGGGAGUAUUGGACAAUGGGGGCAACCCUGAUCCAGCAAUGCGGCGUGAGUGAUGAAGGCCUUAGGGUUGUAAAGCUCUUUUAGCGGGGAAGAUAAUGACGGUACCCGCAGAAAAAGCCCCGGCUAACUUCGUGCCAGCCGCCGCCGUAACAC